AAAAUCAGGUCAUUUGGACCUUUCGACACCAAGUUAUAACCAUUUGAACAAGUACUGUUCAUAUGAUCUAUUCUAUACAGUGGCAGGGUGUGUGAUCCGGAUUCAACCUGAUUUUUCACCAACUUAAGGUCAGUUUUAAGGCUAGGUUUCUGCAUGAAAUUUAUAGCUUUGGGUCUUAAUUUUCAUCUCCAAUUUGCCUCACACCAAUUGGAGUAACAUAAUUUCAGUUAUACUCAUUUGAAUGGGCAUAGGUCAAGCUGCCAGAAUUGACCAUUAUACAUACACCAUUCAAUUCUAGUUUCAAUCAUUCAAUCACAUUCUAAUUCACACCAAUUGAUCAAUUUAAGUCUCAAUUAGGUCAAUUGGCAUCAA
rnacentral:misc_RNA from 1 species